rnacentral:snoRNA from 1 species
AUUCCAUUAUGUUGACACUUUCACAUUAUCUCCUUAAACCUCUCACAUGCUUCAAAUACAGUUUCAGUCUCGUUCAGGCAGAAGUUAUGGAUUUCUCUUCUAAGCUU